AUGAUACAUGGCAUAAGACAGCUUCCAUAUAACAGACCCUCUCUCAGUCCUCUCACAGCCUAUACCUGUGCCUUCUCUCUGUGGGAGUGGGCGAGCGCCUUUUCCAUUGACUUUAUCAGCAAGUCUGGCAGGAGCCUCCUGAGUCAGGGUUCUACUUCACCGCCACGUUUCUUCACCUGGAUACGGAGAGAUCACCAGCCUUGCUAAAAGAGGACCAGUGAAAACAAAAUUUAGCGGAGUCAAAAUGGAAUUGGACAGUGGAGACAAAGUAAGGUUUCUUACAUCGCAGGGAGAUUGUGAUGACUUUUUGAAAUGCAAAUGGAUGGUGUACCAGCCUCAACCCCCAAAGGUCAGCCUUGUGGAAGUGGACAUGAAGAUAUUUGAAGAGAAGACAGCAGAGUUCCCUAUGUUGAGAAGAAAUGAGUGACCUUCCUACCUAAUACAU
rnacentral:lncRNA from 12 species